rnacentral:rRNA from 1 species
GACGAACGCUGGCGGCGUGCUUAACACAUGCAAGUCGAACGGAAAGGCCCCUUUGGGGGUACUCGAGUGGCGAACGGGUGAGUAACACGUGAGUAACCUGCCCUUGACUUCGGGAUAACUUCAGGAAACUGGGGCUAAUACCGGAUAGGAAUCCUUGCUGCAUGGUGGGGGUUGGAAAGCUUCGGCGGUUUUGGAUGGACUCGCGGCUUAUCAGCUUGUUGGUGGGGUAGUGGCUUACCAAGGCUUUGACGGGUAGCCGGCCUGAGAGGGCGACCGGCCACAGUGGGACUGAGAUACGGCCCAGACUCCUACGGGAGGCAGCAGGGGGGAAUAUUGCACAAUGGGCGGAAGCCUGAUGCAGCAACGCCGCGUGCGGGAGGACGGGCUUCGGGUUGUAAACCGCUUUCAGCAGGGGCGAAGCUUGUGGUGACGGUACCUGCAGAAGAAGCACCGGCUAACUACGUG